CCAGAAUAAAAAAGAAGUAUUAUGUUUCCCUGGAAGUAGUGCUCAGUAAUGAUGUCCAUUUUCCCGCAUUUUGUACUUUUCCCUACUGGGCUAAUAACAUUAAACUUUAAUGGUCUCAUGGGUAUACUGUUCUCUUGCUUUGUCAGAUAUUAAUGCGAUACAGCAAAGAAAAAAAUAAUUAACCGUUCUCUAAGCCCCGCCCACAUUAGUUACUAUUGUGAUGUUUGUCUCUCAAGCUUUCCAUUCUCACACUGCACAUAUGGAGUUAUUAACAAUAACGAUGGCAGAUUUAACAUCAACAUGUUUUCAUUUCUAGCUGAUGACUGUGGAUUUGGUCGGCUACAUUAAAAUUAUAAGUGUAACUAGCUAAUGUAAGCUAAUACUAAAGCUUAAACUCCUUGAAUUUGUGAGUAGUCUGUCUCCAGGUGACUUUUUAAUGUUUCCAUCUGACACAUUUUAAGAUGCGUAUGUAACGUCAAUAUCCUCACCAGUUGUUGAUCCAUGUACAGGACAUGUUAACAAAGGAGCAACAUUGUAUUUCUGUGUAUAGCUAGUUAGCCCCAUAUCAUGACAUUAAUGUAAUGUAAUUCAAAUUAAUUCAAAGGUUGCAAGCUUCACAACGAACUCUGUAGGACAGACUGAGCCUCUUCUUCAGGUGAGUGGUUUGCACCAUUUCCUCUCAAACGCUGGAAUCUGUGUUUCUCCCUAUGCAGUUGAUUCUUUCUGUCAUGUUGGUUUGUGGGUGGUAGCCAGAGUCUUUUUUUGUUUCAGGUUCCACUUUUCACAAGUGGCUUCAAAGAUGGAGGAGGUGAGCUGGCUGCCCUGGUCUGAAAGAAGGUAGUUGGGGACUCUCCAUCUGGUGAGAUUUUCUGGGGGACUAUUCCUGAUAUGGUUUCUGCUGUUGCUUUUCGUGGGGGAAAUAACUCCACCCAACGUGUGUAUCAGUCCACAAAAACCAGCAAGUUAGCAUUUCCUUUGGAGCUCCUAGAGAAGGGGUCCAUCAAGUGCACUCCCAGCAUCUCCCAGGGUUGGUUUACCACAGUUUGCUGCAAUUUCCCUGAAACCUUACGAUUUUCAGGUUUGAAGCACUGGGCAGCCUGGAAACCCAACGGUUUGUGCAGAAUCCUCGGAGCAGAGCUCACACUGUUACAGACUCGAAAACAGCUUUCCUUUUCCUGAAACCGUGGACCAAGGGAAUUGCAUCACACUUACAUCACACAAAGCUAUGAAUAGAGUGUCCUGUGUUUUAAUUUAUUUUUAUUAAUUGUGGUUUUGUGAGAAAACAAAACUGAAAUGAGGCAGUAAUUUCAUGCCAUGCUCUAUACAACAUUAAUUAACUUAAAUGAAAAUAUUUUUUAUAAGAGAAUUGUAAUUUUCAUAUAUUUUCACAUCCUGUGUACAAGUCUGCAUAUGAAUCUGCUCUACUGUUUCAACAUUUAUCUCAACAGUGCAUUUCAGUAAGUUAGGAUGCUUAUUUAAAUGCUGUUAAGUCUCUCAGUGCUGCCUAUGGAAAGUGAGCUUUAAGUGGGGAAGAGUGAAAUCCCCCCUGUGUCUUAGUGGAAUUGCGGGCCUGAGCAGACUGGAUUUCAGCUCAAUAGAAGCUGUAAUUAGUUGUAAUUUACGGGGCAACUCCUCCCCAGCGACCCUGCUGUGCAGAAUCCCCUGGCCACUUGGAAAGAUCAUGUUUUCUUGCACAGUGCAUGGCACUCAAAUGAACCACAACACCGCCAUAAUGGCUUGCUCCCCACUGAUUUGCCCACCUUGUGUAAGGUAGCUGAAAGUCACUUCCUGUGAUGCUCACUGGAGCGUACACGCUGCUAUUUCCAUCUAUUAAGAUGUGAAGGAGCAACGGUGUCCAAAGCCACCAUGAACACAUCAAUAAUAGAAGCAAUUGAAACGAUUGGCAAAGUUGCUGGUAAUGUGAAGUUGUUACUGCUUGAUGUGUUUGCAGCAUCAGAGGCUGCAAAUGACAAUGUGUUUUUAGAUCUAAUGAUGCAUUUGCAUGUAAUUCUCUGUGCUUGUUAUUGUUCUGAAAUCAGUCCAGAUGCAAUUUGAGCGCAUCAAUUUAGAGUCCAAUGUUACUCAAGCAACUAAUGGACUCUCAGGCAAAAUGAAAAUUGCUUCCUAAUGAUCUGACUAAGCUUGAUGGGUGAAUCUAAAUUGAUUAGUGUGCUAACAUGAAUGUAAUAUGGAAUUAGCCUUUGAGAAGUGUGAUCAUAUUUUUCUGGUACUUGCUGACCUUAUUACAUUCUAGCAUUUUAGUGUCUUACUAAUAGCUAUUGCUUUGUACUGUAUACACUUCAGACCUUUUUUUCUCUUCCUCUCAUUCUGUUGAUUAGAAAAUAUAUUGAUGCUCUCAUAAAUAAAUGCUGUCAUGGCUGUAAUGAACUAAAAGUGUUACGAAUAGGACAUUAGAAGGCACAUGAGUGUUUCUGUACUAAUGUGGCUCAGUCAUUUUCUGUGUUGUAAUGUUUUUGUGUGUGUGUGUGUGUGUGUGUGUGUGUAUGCGACUUAGUUAAAAUAAAAAUAAAAAACUUAGUGUUGUUAUAAGGUUAAAAGAUGG
ensembl:lncRNA